rnacentral:rRNA from 1 species
AACGCGAAGAACCUUACCAAGGUUUGACAUGCAGGGAAAAGCCGUAGAGAUACGGUGUCCGUAAGGGCCCUGCACAGGUGGUGCAUGGCUGUCGUCAGCUCGUGUCGUGAGAUGUUGGGUUAAGUCCCGCAACGAGCGCAACCCUUGUCUUCUGUUGCCAUCAGGUUAUGCUGGGCACUCUGGAGAGACUGCCGGUGAUAAACCGGAGGAAGGUGGGGAUGACGUCAAGUCAGCAUGGCCUUUAUGUCUGGGGCUACACACGUGCUACAAUGGCCGGCACAAACCGUCGCGAGCCCGCGAGGGGGAGCUAAUCGGAGAAAGUCGGUCUCAGUUCGGAUCGUAGGCUGCAACUCGCCUGCGUGAAGUUGGAAUCGCUAGUAAUCGCGGAUCAGCACGCCGCGGUGAAUACGUUCCCGGGCCUUGUACACACCGUGUCGA